rnacentral:rRNA from 1 species
GCCACCAUUCAGUUUGACACUCUAAGGGGACUGCCGGUGAUAAGCCGCGAGGAAGGUGGGGAUGACGUCAAGUCCUCAUGGCCCUUACGGGCUGGGCUACACACGUGAUACAAUGGCGGUGACAGUGGGAUGCAAUGGAGCAAUCCUGCGCAAAUCUCAAAAAGCCGUCUCAGUUCGGAUUGUGCUAUGCAACUCGAGCACAUGAAGUUGGAAUCGCUAGUAAUCGCAGAUCAGCACGCUGCGGUGAAUACGUUCCAGGGCCUUGUACACACCGCCCGUCACACCAUGGGAGUUGGCUUUACCUGAAGACGGUGCGCUAACCGCAAGGAGGCAGCCGGCCACGGUAGGGUCAGCGACUGGGGUGAAGUCGUAACAAGGUAGCCGUAGGGGAACCUGCGGCUGGAUC